rfam:Haemonchus contortus, ISE/inbred ISE, WGS project CAVP01000000 data, contig: Hcontortus_39795
GGCACAGAUUUCAAGUAAAGUAGGUUAGUAGGAUCAGCUGACUCUACCAAACUAUCUUACUUCAAAUUUGUGCCC